rnacentral:lncRNA from 1 species
CCUGAUGGUGUCAGUGAUAGCAGUCAUCAUGGUACAGACCAUUGUCAAGGGGAAGUGCUUCAGAAUGUUGAACCUGAGCCUGGUUUGAGAGCCAAGGAACCAGGCCAUUGUAAUCAUAGAGAGUUGCACGCCGCAGCAGAGGAUGGUGAUCAAGAGCUACAGGUGGAAAGUUGCUUAAAGUCUGAAGAUAAUGGUUUUGCGCCCAUUGUGGAAACAAAAGAUGAUGUGGUUGGUGAACAGUCUACUGGAGAUAUGGCGGUGGGAGAUGCAGAAAUGAAGAAUGGUUUUACUCAGCCUGGGCAAUGCAGUGAAGCACCAUCUCUAAUAGAAGGAAACCAUACUCUGACAGGAAACUCUUCCGAAGCUGUUAAUAUAAACGUAGAGACAAGAGAGCCUGGAGAGUUGCCUCGAGGAGUAACUGAUGACGAACCUGCCAUUUUGGAGCCUGGGAAGGAUGAACAAGUGGAAGUGUUGCCGGAUGUGACUCCACCAAAUGCUUGUGCUUGUGUGAUGGAAAAGGACUUAGAGAUGCAAGAGAUAGCAGAACUGUCACGGGGCAUGAUUGAUGAGUACAAUGCACUUACCGAAUCUACCAUUUUGGAGCCUAAAAUCGUUGAACAAGUAGAACUGUUGCCAGAUGUGACUUCAUCAAAUGCUUGUGCUUAUGUGACGGAAAAGGAAGCAGAGAUGCAAGAGCUAGCAGAACUGCCACGGGGCAUGACUGAUGAGCACAAUGCACUUAAUGAGUCCAAGGAAAUUGAAGAAGUCGGAGUGGUGAAGGAAGAUGAUUCCCUACAAAGUGGAGAAGAACAUCAUGUGGCAUUUGAUGUAACUUCACAACCGGAUGGAACUUCAAAUACGGAUCAAUUAGAGCAACGACGAGAGGGAGCAGGGGAAGAGCAACCUGUUGUCCGUUUUGAGCAGCAGGUAGAGAUUGGAUCUCAGGAGGAUGAAGGACGCCCUUCAGAUUCAGUGCUUGAUUUAGAGG